UUGACCUCAAAUCGGGUGAGACCACCCGCUGAA
rnacentral:rRNA from 1 species